CACGUAGUUAGCCGGGGCUUCUUAGUCAGGUACCGUCAUUUUCUUUCCUGCUGAUGGAGCUUUACGUACCGAAAUACUUCUUCACUCACGCGGCGUCGCUGGAUCAGGGUUUCCCCCAUUGUCCAAUAUUCCCCACUGCUGCCUCCCGUAGGAGUUUGGGCCGUGUCUCAGUCCCAAUGUGGCCGUCCACCCUCUCAGGCCGGCUACUGAUCGUCGCCUUGGUGGGCCGUUACCCCGCCAACCAGCUAAUCAGACGCGGGCCCAUCCCAUACCACCGGAGUUUUUCACACACCUUCAUGCGAAGCUGUGCGCUUAUGCGGUUUUAGCACCUGUUUCCAGGUGUUAUCCCCCGGUAUGGGGCAGGUUGCCCACGCGUUACUCACCCGUCCGCCACUAACUUACACUUCCGUUAGUCAAUGCAAGCAUCUCCUGCUUCUGUGUAAGUCCGUUCGACUUGCAUGUGUUAGGCACGCCGCCAGCGUUCAUCCUGAGCCAGGAUCAAAACUCU
rnacentral:rRNA from 1 species